rnacentral:rRNA from 1 species
UGGUGGAGUGAUUUGUCUGGUUAAUUCCGAUAACGAACGAGACCUCAGCUUGUUAAAUAGUGUGCUGAAGCUUCUGUAUGGGUGAAGUGGUGGUCAUCCUCGUCGCUGGGCCUUCUGGGUCUUGGUCGGCGAGGGUACUGCCAUGGAUCCUUGAAUGCUUGAGCAUAUCUUCUUAAAGGGACACUUGGCGUUUAGCCAGGGAAGUGAGGCAAUAACA